rnacentral:rRNA from 1 species
GAUGAACGCUGACAGAAUGCUUAACACAUGCAAGUCUUUGGCGAAGCUGUGCUUGCACAGCCUAGCCAAGGCGGACGGGUGAGUAACGCGUAAGGAACUUGCCCUGCAGUCAGGGAUAACAGACGGAAACGACUGAUAAGACCUGGUAAAGUCAGGCGGACUCAUGUCCAGCCUGAUGAAAAGAGAUGCUGCAGGAGAGCCUUGCGUCCUAUUAGCUUGUUGGUGGGGUAACGGCCCACCAAGGCGAUGAUAGGUAGCCGGCCUGAGAGGGUGGACGGCCACAAGGGGACUGAGAUACGGCCCUUACUCCUACGGGAGGCAGCAGUGGGGAAUAUUGGACAAUGGGGGCAACCCUGAUCCAGCAAUUCUGUGUGCACGAUGAAGGUUUGCGGAUUGUAAAGUGCUUUCAGCAGGGAAGAAAAAAAUGACGGUACCGGCAGAAGAAGCGACGGCUAAAUACGU